AUUGAACGCUGGCGGAAUGCUUUACACAUGCAAGUCGAACGGCAGCACGGACUUCGGUCUGGUGGCGAGUGGCGAACGGGUGAGUAAUAUAUCGGAACGUGCCCAGUCGUGGGGGAUAACGUAGCGAAAGUUACGCUAAUACCGCAUACGAUCUAUGGAUGAAAGCGGGGGAUCGCAAGACCUCGCGCGAUUGGAGCGGCCGAUAUCAGAUUAGGUAGUGGGUGGGGUAAAGGCUCACCAAGCCAACGAUCUGUAGCUGGUCUGAGAGGACGACCAGCCACACUGGAACUGGGACACGGUCCAGACUCCUACGGGAGGCAGCAGUGGGGAAUUUUGGACAAUGGACGCAAGUCUGAUCCAGCCAUUCCGCGUGCAGGAUGAAGGCCCUCGGGUUGUAAACUGCUUUUGUACGGAACGAAAAGGUCUCCAUUAAUACUGGGGGCUCAUGACGGUACCGUAAGAAUAAGCACCGGCUAACUACGUGCCAGCAGCCGCAGUAAGAC
rnacentral:rRNA from 1 species